UCAAUCAAUAAAGGGCAUAUGGUGGAGACCUAGGGACCUAGAGCCGAUGAAGGGCGUGACAACCGACGAUAUGCCUCGGGGAGUAGGACGUAUGCGCUGAUCCGAGGAUUCCCGAAUGGGGCAACCCAAUGCAUUCCUUCUUGAAUUCAUAGAGAAGAGAAAGACAACUUGGUGAACUGAAACAUCUUAGUAGCCAAAGGAAAAGAAAGCAAAAGCGAUUCCCAAAGUAGCGGCGAGCGGAAUGGGAACAGCCUAAAAGGACUUUGACAGUAAUGUAAAGACCAGGUCAUGGGACCAAACAUAUGGCACUGCAUGGAAUGAGAAACGAAACAGCUGAAACCUGUACCAUAGAUGGUGAAAGUCCAGUCGUUGAAUCACUACCAACAACCGCCGUUUGGCUCCCGAGUAGUAUGGGACACGUGAAAUCCCGUAUGAAUUUGCGAGGACCACCUCGUAAGGCUAAAUACUCCUAGGUCACCGAUAGCGAAUAGUACCGCGAGGGAAAGGUGAAAAGAACCCCUUUACGGGGAGUGAAAUAGAACAUGAAACCGUAUGCUUACAAUUUGUGGGAGGAUGAACACAUCUGACCGCAUGCCUGUUGAAGAAUGAUCUGGCGACUUAGAAGAAGUGGCAGGUUAAGAUUUUCCAUCGAAGCCAAAGCGAAAGCAUGUCUGAUAAGGGCUCUCGUCCCUUCUUCUAGACCCGAACCCAGGUGAUCUAACCAUGACCAGAAUGAAGCUUUGGUGAUACGAAGUGGAGGUUCGAACCGACCGAUGUUGAAAAAUCGACGGAUGAGUUGUGGUUAGGGGUGAAAUGCCAAUCGAACUUGGAGCUAGCUGGUUCUCCUCGAAAUGCGUUGAGGCGCAGCGGUUGAUUAUGGGCUUCUAGGGGGUAAAGCGCUGUCUCGGUGCGGGCUGCGAAAGCGGUACCAAUCUGUUGCAAACUCGGAAUACCUAGAACGCUUUCAAUCGGCCAGUGAGACUGCGGGGGAUAAGCUCCGUAGUCAAAAGGGAAACAGCCCAGACCACCAGCUAAGGCUCCUAAAUAAAAGCUAAGUGGCAAAGGAGGUAAAAAUGCAGUGACAAUCAGGAGGUUUGCCUAGAAGCAGCCACCCUUUAAAGAGUGCGUAAUAGCUCACUGAUCAAGCGUUUUCGCGCCGAAAAUGACCGGAACUAAGUUUUUUGCCGAAGCUGUGGCUACAUCACAUAGAUGAUGUAGGGUAGAGGAGCGUUCCGUCCAGGGGGAAGCCAAGCGCGUAAGCCGCGGUCGACAGGACGGAAGUGAGAAUGUCAGAUUGAGUAACGUAAACAUUGGUGAGAAUCCAAUGCCCCGAAAACUCAAGGGUUCCUGCGCAAGGCUCGUCCGCGCAGGGUCAGUCAGGACCUAAGGUGAGGCCGAAAGGCGUAAUUGAUGGCAAGAAGGUUUAUAUUCCUUCACUAGUCUAGGCUUAGUCCUGAGGGACGAACAAAUAACACUCUACACAACAGCCAUACUUGGCAGUUUGGAUAAACCUGUUGUUGUUUGAUGCUAUUUAUUCCAAGAAAAGCUCAUUCGACUUUGAGUCUAGACUACCUGUACCGUAAACCGACACAGGUGAGUGGGUUGAAUAAACUAAGGGGAGCGAGAUAACUCUCUCUAAGGAACUCGGCAAAUUGGCUCUGUACCUUCGGAAGAAAGAGUGCCCCUCAGGGGGCCGCAGUGAAGAGAUCCAGGCGACUGUUUACCAAAAACACAGGUCUCCGCAAAGUCGUAAGACGACGUAUGGGGGCUGACACCUGCCCAGUGCCAGAAGGUUAAAGAAGUUGGUCAAUCUUUGAUGAAGCUAACAACUGAAGCCCUGGUGAACGGCGGCAGUAACUAUAACUGUCCUAAGGUAGCGAAAUUCCUUGUCGGGUAAGUUCCGACCCGCACGAA
rnacentral:rRNA from 1 species